ACUCUUCCAAAAUAUGUUCCAAAGAAUAAUUUGGAGCUGAAGGGCAAAACCGCCUAAAAUGGUGACAACCCCAAAUUCAGAAAGAAAGAGCUACUGAAAAAUAGUCUCUAUCUUCAUCUGAUAAACCCUUUGAAUACCUCUUAGGGUUUUUGUAGAAGCAGCUACUAUGCUUAGAAUUGGAGCUAAGCUCUGUAGAGCUGCAAGAAUUGGUGGCUCUGUUUUCGUGUCACCAAAAUCAUCACAACUGCCACCCCCAAGAUUCUUCUCUGUUAACAACAACAAUGUUAACACUAGUAGUUUUAAGACCAACCCAGUUGCUCUUCAGAUGAUCAAUUAUGCUCUUUCCCUUGCCCGUACCCAAAAAUCAGAUGAAUCAUAUGCGCAAGCUCAAUUGGUACUUGAGCAGUGCCACUCAGCUCAGCUGGAUGAGAGUGCUAAAGGAUUGGUUUUGCUUGCCAUGUCAACCUUAUUUUCUGAAAGAGGAAAUUUCGGUGAGGCCAUUGAGAAGCUCCAGAAAAUUCAAGAUUUAGGCUUGUCAUCAUUAGCUGUUAAAGUUGCCGCCUCUGAAGCACUUGCUGGGCUUUAUUUAGAAUCGCAUCAAGAUGAUGCUUCAUCAGCAACUGCAGAUAUAUGCUUACAACUGCUGGAAACCAUAAGGCUCGAGAUUGGUGGUGGCGGAUCUGAGUUUUUGGAAGCUCGUGCAAAGGCAUUGAAGGGGCUGGUGGAGUUGGUCCGCGGUAACAUUGAAUCAGCCCUGUCAUUCUUUGAAGGAGCUCAGGGUGAUAAAGGUUGCUUUGGCAACGUUGCACUAUCUUAUGGUGAAUUCCUUCAUUGUAAGCGGGAUUUCCAAAUGGUGAGGGAGUUAUAUCAAAAGGCAAUGCACGAUGUAUCAGAAAGUAAAGAUUUUACCGACUCACAGUCCUUAUCAGCUUGUAACAUGAAUUUGGAGGAGACUUUGUUAGGAGCUACUUGUGCUUUAGGACAGCUUGAGGCUCAUUUGGGGAAUUUUGAUGAUGCUGAGGAAAUACUGACUGCAGCACUGAAGAAAGCAGAAGAGUGUUUUGGUAAUUAUCAUCCAAAGGUAGGUAUUAUUUUGACCUGCAUAGCUCUCAUGUAUCGGCAUAAAGCAGCCAUGGAACGGUCAAGCUCUCUUUUGAUUCAAGAGGGACUCUAUAGAAGAGCAAUUGAAGUGCUCAAAGCUCCACCCUUGGAAAUAGAAGGUGUUGAAGCAAAACUGUCCAGAAGGGACAUACUUGCCCUUGCAAGAGGUGGGUAUGCAGAGACGCUUAUCGUGCAACAAAAUAGAAAAGCAGAAGGCGAAAAACUGAAGCAGUGGGCUGAAAAGGCUUGGACAAAUCGCAGAUUGUCACUUGCCGAGGCACUCGAGCCAUCCGAAUCAUCAACCAAGGUGGUGGUCAUAGAUACUCGAAUCAGCCGGGUCCUGUAGUUUCCUUUCUUAACAUGUUUUCUUUGGAAAGUUGAGAUGUAUUACGGUCACAACUAACAUGUAUCUAUAUACUUUUGUAGAUAUAACAUGCUCUUUAUGAGUUGCAAUGUUAGAAGUUGAGAAUUAUGUAAGCUUCUAGGUUGUAGCGGAAUUGCUUUUCCACAUCAAUUGGAGAAGCAGCAACAACAACAACAAAAAAUUCAGGGUAAUUCCACAUAGUGAGGUGUGGGGAGGAUACUAUGUAUGCAGACUUUAUGCUGUUUUCAAUAGACACAUCAAUUCUAGAAGAGGUUUCAAAAUUGAAUGUAUUACUGUCGUACAUUACUGAAUACA